GCGUCAGUGGUUUAGUGGUAAAAUCCAUCGUUGCCAGAUGUGCAACAUUCGAUGGGCCCCGCGUUCGAUUCGCGGCUGACGCA
rnacentral:tRNA from 1 species